rnacentral:misc_RNA from 1 species
UUUCCGUAGGUGAACCUGCGGAAGGAUCAUUAUCGAAAUACUUAUUUAGCGUUCCGUGCUAUCCCAUUGUUUUAUUUACCCUGUUGCUUCCACUGGAUGAGUUUCCAUACCUUAUGUUUGAGAAACUUUGGCUUGUGUAAGAUUCAUUCACGGCCAGCCAGUGAGAAGACCAUUUACAAAACCCUGUUAAGAACCAAUUGUCUGAAUAUUUUACUCCAAUGAAAUAAAACUUUCAACAACGGAUCUCUAGGCUCUUACAUCGAUGAAGAACGCAGC